rnacentral:rRNA from 1 species
GAUGAACGCUGGCGGCGUGCCUAAUACAUGCAAGUCGAGCGAACAGAUGAGGAGCUUGCUCCUCUGACGUUAGCGGCGGACGGGUGAGUAACACGUGGAUAACCUACCUAUAAGACUGGGAUAACUUCGGGAAACCGGAGCUAAUACCGGAUAAUAUAUUGAACCGCAUGGUUCAAUAGUGAAAGACGGUUUUGCUGUCACUUAUAGAUGGAUCCGCGCCGCAUUAGCUAGUUGGUAAGAUAACGGCUUACCAAGGCAACGAUGCGUAGCCGACCUGAGAGGGUGAUCGGCCACACUGGAACUGAGACACGGUCCAGACUCCUACGGGAGGCAGCAGUAGGGAAUCUUCCGCAAAGGGCGAAAGCCUGACGGAGCAACGCCGCGUGAGUGAUGAAGGUCUUCGGAUCGUAAAACUCUGUUAUUAGGGAAGAACAAAUGUGUAAGUAACUAUGCACGUCUUGACGGUACCUAAUCAGAAAGCCACGGCUAACUACGUG